GAUGAAGAACGUAGUGAAAUGCGAUACUUGGUGUGAAUUGCAGAAUCCCGUGAACCAUCGAGUCUUUGAACGCAAGUUGCGCCCGAAGCCAUCAGGUUGAGGGCACGUCUGCCUGGGCGUCACAUAUCGUUGCCCAAUGCCUAUUGCAGUGCAAUAGGAAUUUCUAGGGCGAAUGAUGGCUUCCCGUGAGCGUUGUUGCCUCGCGGUUGGUUUAAAAUCGAGUCCUUGGUAGGGUGUGCCAUGGUAGAUGGUGGUCGAGUUAGAACGAUACCGAUCAUGUGCAUGCUCCCCAAAAUAUGGCCUCUAUGACCCACACGCGUCUUUUGACGCUCAUGACGAGACCUCAGGUCAGGCGGGGCUACCCGCUGAAUUUAAGCAUAUCAAUAAGCGGAGGA
rnacentral:misc_RNA from 1 species